rnacentral:rRNA from 1 species
GACGUAGGGUGCAAGCGUUGUCCGGAAUUAUUGGGCGUAAAGAGUUCGUAGGCGGUUGCCUAAGUCUGAUGUUAAAGCCCGGGGCUCAACCCCGGCAUGGCACCGGAAACUGGGCGGCUAGAGUGCGGUAGAGGUCACGGGAAUUCCAGGUGUAGCGGUGAAAUGCGUAGAUAUCUGGAGGAACACCGGUGGCGAAAGCGCGUGACUGGGCCGUAACUGACGCUGAGGAACGAAAGCCAGGGGAGCGAAAGGG